AACAACACAAGAGUCUGCAUUUUAAACCAGAUGACUUUUUGAACUGGGCGCAAAAACGAGUGGAUUUUGCAAAGAACUGCGACUGAACCCUGGAGCAGUCCCAACAAUUCGAUUAAGCACAGUAUGAAGCAGUACGGAGGAUAACCACAAAGCGCAUGUUGCUGUGACGUGCUCUUGGAAGAAGGUCGUUGUGAUUUCAAAUUCUCCGUGGGAAAAUCUGGGUUUGACGGCGUUCAAGAGCAGAGUUCUCUACAUUUGGCCCAACAGCUCAAAUGGAAACUAGAGCACAAGAUCAGAAUGAAGCUCCCACACAUGGCCUUAUGACUGUUGCCCCGGUGAAGAACCCGAGGUCCAGCCUUCCCCACUCAAGACAUGCCUGAGACAAGAGUGACUGUAUUCCAAGUUGAUCCAAGGUGAUCCUAACUUAAAUGUAGUUCUUGAAAAAGACAAAAAUACUCAACACUAUUAAUGUUGAAAUCAUUGGUCUAUGGUUAUUACUGUCCUGAAACGACCCUUUGGCCUUUUUAUGUUUUUUUUAAAUGUUUUCUUCUGUACCAUAAUUAUGCUUGCAAAUAUUGCCUACCUAGAAAUGUAACUUGAACCUGAUCUCAAUGGUAUUCUAUACAAUGACAAUAAAGGCUUUCUAUUCUA